GGCGGCGUGCCUAAUACAUGCAAGUAGAACGCUGAGGACUGGUGCUUGCACCGGUCCAAGGAGUUGCGAACGGGUGAGUAACGCGUAGGUAACCUACCUCAUAGCGGGGGAUAACUAUUGGAAACGAUAGCUAAUACCGCAUGACAAUGGAGGACUCAUGUCUUUCAUUUAAAAGGUGCAAUUGCAUCACUAUGAGAUGGACCUGCGUUGUAUUAGCUAGUUGGUGAGGUAACGGCUCACCAAGGCGACGAUACAUAGCCGACCUGAGAGGGUGAUCGGCCACACUGGGACUGAGACACGGCCCAGACUCCUACGGGAGGCAGCAGUAGGGAAUCUUCGGCAAUGGACGGAAGUCUGACCGAGCAACGCCGCGUGAGUGAAGAAGGUUUUCGGAUCGUAAAGCUCUGUUGUUAGAGAAGAAUGAUGGUGGGAGUGGAAAAUCCACCAUGUGACGGUAACUAACCAGAAAGGGACGGCUAACUACGUGCCAGCAGCCGCGG
rnacentral:rRNA from 1 species